rnacentral:rRNA from 1 species
UACAGAGGUCCCGAGCGUUGUUCGGAUUCACUGGGCGUAAAGGGUGCGUAGGUGGUGAGGUAAGUCGGAUGUGAAAUCUCCAAGCUCAACUUGGAAAUGGCAUUGGAAACUACCUUGCUGGAGGUUUGGAGGGGGGACUGGAAUUCUCGGUGUAGCAGUGAAAUGCGUAGAUAUCGGGAGGAACACCGGUGGCGAAGGCGGGUCUCUGGGCAAUUCCUGACGCUGAGGCGCGAAAGCGUGGGGAGCAAACGGG